rnacentral:lncRNA from 10 species
GAAAGGCUUUGCUGUGUUUCCUCUGCAGAGAAAGUGCCCAGGUAACAGAGAUGACUCAAAAUCAUGUACAUUAGCAGUCAGAUCAGACAAACCAAAGCCUCACGGUGUGCCCACGUCGGAACUCCUUCUCCUAGCAUUUUUCUGGGUCAGCCUGGAUUGAGACACACUGGCCUUUAGAACUUGAAUAAAAUGCCGUUUCACUCAUUGCCAUCUUCGAUAGUUGGUAGAAGGUGAUUGCAGUUCCAAGUGGUGUCACCAUUUUAGUGAGUGCAUUGUGAAGGGAUAAGUAAGCAGAGAUGCAAAACCUCUUCCACUUCUUUUCCAUGAAGCACAGCUUUCAGAAGAAUUGAACUAUAGUAAAUGGCAGAGAGUCUAGCACAAUUAAGUAUUUCUAAACCAGGACUGAAAAUGAAGAAAUGAUCACCAUAGAGGAAACAAAAUCAGAGAGGAUAGGAAACCUGUCCAAAGUCAUAUGGCUGAUAAGAGGCAGAGUGAAGACUGGACCUGAGCAAGUUUGGUGUAGAAGCCUGUGCUCUUAACUGCCAUCCUAGAUUCUUUCUUAAGACUUCUUCUGAGGAACUGAAGACACAUUUUGUAGAAGUUGAUGGAUUAAGAAAAAGAAGUUGCAUUUUAUUACCUAUCCUAAAGAUAGAAGGUUCCUCGCAUGACUGACAGCUUAGAAGCCAGAGGUCAAGGGAGCCUAUCGAUCAAUGCACUCCACGCAAAUAUGUCCCAGGAGCAGGAUAGAACAAGGUGUAAAAGGGUGGGACUCUAUCUAGAGGGGCAAAAUGAAGAUAUCGAACACAUUGACAUGAAUAAAAUAUGUACAAUGUCAUUAUAAUGUGUCAAAUUUGCACAGAAAAAUAAUCAUAAAAUAUUUAAUGUCAUAGUCAACUACUGGUGGUGUUUUAUGCCAGCUGCACUUUAGCUGGUUAACUGGAGGAUUUGAGUGAAAAUACUUCUUUUUUUUUUUUUUUUAAGAGAGAGAGAGGUUCAGGAAACAUCUGAAGGGGAAUGGGCAAGUGAUGCCUGAACGGUACUGGCAGAAGAUAAAUGGUGGAGGAACAAAAACUUGCCAAGAA